rnacentral:rRNA from 1 species
GACGAACGCUGGCGGCGUGCCUAAUACAUGCAAGUUGAGCGCUGAAGGUUGGUACUUGUACCAACUGGAUGAGCAGCGAACGGGUGAGUAACGCGUGGGGAAUCUGCCUUUGAGCGGGGGACAACAUUUGGAAACGAAUGCUAAUACCGCAUAAAAACUUUAAACACAAGUUUUAAGUUUGAAAGAUGCAAUUGCAUCACUCAAAGAUGAUCCCGCGUUGUAUUAGCUAGUUGGUGAGGUAAAGGCUCACCAAGGCGAUGAUACAUAGCCGACCUGGGAGGGUGAUCGGCCACAUUGGGACUGAGACACGGCCCAAACUCCGACGGGAGGCAGCAGUAGGGAAUCUUCGGCAAUGGACGAAAGUCUGACCGAGCAACGCCGCGAGAGUGAAGAAGGUUUUCGGAUCGUAAAACUCUGUUGGUAGAGAAGAACGUUGGUGAGAGUGGAAAGCUCAUCAAGUGACGGUAACUACCCAGAAAGGGACGGCUAACUACGUG